rnacentral:rRNA from 1 species
CCUACGGGAGGCUGCAGUGGGGAAUAUUGCACAAUGGGGGAAACCCUGAUGCAGCGACGCCGCGUGAGUGAAGAAGUAUUUCGGUACGUAAAGCUCUAUCAGCAGGGAAGAAAAUGACGGUACCUGACUAAGAAGCCCCGGCUAACGACGUGCCAGCAGCCGCGGUAAUACGGAGGGGGCAAGCGUUAUCCGGAUUUAUUGGGUGUAAAGGGGGCGGAGGCGGACUGUUAAGUCAGCGGUCACAGCCCGGGGCUCAACCCCGGCGAGCCGUUGAAACUGGCUGUCUUGAGCUGUCGAGAGGUAUGCGGAAUGCGCAGUGUAGCGGUUACCUGCUUAGAUAUUGCGCAGACCUCCGAUUGCGAAGGCAGCAUACCGGCGGCGAUCUGACGCUGAGGCACGAACGCGUGGGUAUCGAACAGGAUUAGAUACCCCGGUAGUC